GACUCCUGCCUAAUGGUGGUCAACACUAACUGCUCUGUGGACGCCAAGAGAGAGAGGCCGCGGCGAGAGAAGACAACACACACACACACACAAGACAACAAGAAGCAUCAACAGCUGAGAUGAGACUCAUGCCAGCAUAUGAUGGAUGUAAGCCCGAACAGCUGCUCAGAAAUCGCUUUGACCAAAACCCUCAUAGCUUGCCCAGGAGUGCCUCCUCCUGGCUACUUCAUGUAAAUGCCUUGUUUCAGCAGCUUACUGGGCCUCCCUGUUAUCUCCUAAAUGGUAUCUUAGGUAGCUUGGCAGCCAUGGCAACCAGUCAUUAUCUUCCCUAAACAGAUGUAUUGUUGACAGUUGGCUGAGCUCCAUGACUCACAUCAAGAAAGAACAUCAACACUAGUAGAAAAUGUGGCCUUACACUGAUAAUCAAAUGGAGCAGAAUGUUUUUAUUCAGCACUCACUACUGCACACAUGCUUUAUAUUUCUAAGGCUCCUCUUAAAUACAAACAGUUAAAACUAUAACUCUCUUUGCAAAUGUGUGUAAAUAAAUGUGACAGACUGGCAGCUACAGACGUCAUUGCCAGGCAUGUGGCAGCUCGCUAAUUGGAGCAAAGAAUCAAGCGGUCAGGCUUCAAGAGAUUACAGUAAAAGCACCGUGAGGAACCCAGGCGGAAACAUGCACACGUUGACUAGACUACCAUCCUGUGUUUAAAGUAUAAAAGCUUUAAAGCAACUUUUAGACCCCACAAAACCAAAAAAAGCUGCAGGAUUAUAUCUGAAAAUCACAGUGUAAAUAAGGUAACAAAUUCAUCAUGAGACCACCUGAUAUUCAGUUUAAAACAUAUUUAUAUAUACAAAUAAUAAAUGGGUGGGUGGGAUCUAGAAAACAGGAACAAUGUCACUUUCUUAACUAUUUGACCUUCUGCUUGUAAAAAGUGGAAAUGCAUUUUUUUUAACAACAAAUAAAUAUGUGGAACUUCUGGCCUGAAGACAGUAUGGCCCAGUUGGCGCUCACAAUUUACCCUGCUUUCUAUUUCUGGAAGCUGCAAGAGGCAUGCAGCCACACUCACACACAGAUACACACGCAACAGCAGAGCAGCCUGACAAUAUGUGCCGGUCAAUAUUAAAAGCCACUGGAUGAGGCGAACACGUGCUCUUCUUUUCCAGGACAAUCCAAUCCAGCGUCUGCUUGCCAUGUGUGAAAUCAUCUGAUGCAGCAGGUUGUUUCAGCAUCCUCACCUUCUGGCCAGCUUGUUAACUGAUGAGGACAUUUUCCUGCUAAAAACUGAGACAGUGCAGGUUGUCGCAUGAACGGAGGUUCGCUGCGUCCUGUUGCAUGAGGCAGAUUCACGCGUGAGCAAAAGACUGAAA